UGAGGUAGUUAAGAAUAAGUG
rnacentral:miRNA from 1 species